CGCCCAGCUUGGGAGGUGGGGCUUCGCCCGAGGGCGGGCCUUCUCCGGGGGUGGGACUCCGGCCUCCGUGUCGAGUGGGUAUCGGUCCCGUUAGGUCUGAGGAGGCGAUGGCUGCACGCGCGUUGAAGCUGCUGACCACACUGCUGGCUGUCGUGGCCGCUGCCUCCCAAGCCGAGGUCGAGUCCGAGGCAGGAUGGGGCGUGGUGACGCCUGAUCUGCUCUUCGCCGAGGGGACCGCAGCCUAUGCGCGCGGGGACUGGCCCGGGGUGGUCCUGAGCAUGGAACGGGCGCUGCGCUCCCGGGCUGCCCUUCGCGCCCUUCGCCUGCGCUGCCGCACCCGAUGUGCCGCUGACUUCCCGUGGGAGCUGGACCCCGAAUCGCUCCCCAGCCCGGCCCAGGCCUCGGGCGCCGCAGCCCUGCGCGACCUGAGCUUCUUCGGGGGCCUCCUGCGCCGCGCCGCCUGCCUGCGCGGCUGCCUCGGGCCGCCGGCCGCCCACUCGCUCAGCGAAGAGAUGGAGCUGGAGUUCCGCAAGCGGAGCCCCUACAACUACCUGCAGGUCGCCUACUUCAAGAUCAACAAGUUGGAGAAAGCUGUCGCUGCAGCACACACCUUCUUCGUGGGCAAUCCUGAGCACAUGGAGAUGCGGCAGAACCUAGACUAUUACCAAACCAUGUCUGGAGUAAAGGAGGCCGACUUCAAGGAUCUUGAGACUCAACCCCAUAUGCAAGAAUUUCGACUGGGAGUGCGACUCUACUCAGAGGAACAGCCAGAGGAAGCCGUGCCCCACCUAGAGGCGGCGCUGCACGAGUACUUUGUGGCCUAUGAGGAGUGCCAUGCCCUCUGUGAAGGGCCUUAUGACUACGAUGGCUACAACUACCUUGAGUACAACGCUGACCUCUUCCAGGCCAUCACAGAUCAUUAUAUCCAGGUCCUCAGCUGUAAGCAGAACUGUGUCACUGAGCUUGCUUCCCACCCAAGUCGAGAGAAGCCCUUUGAAGACUUCCUCCCAUCCCAUUAUAAUUAUCUGCAGUUUGCCUACUAUAACAUUGGGAAUUAUACACAGGCUGUUGAAUGUGCCAAGACCUAUCUUCUCUUCUUCCCCAAUGACGAGGUGAUGAACCAAAAUUUGGCCUAUUAUGCAGCUAUGCUUGGAGAAGAACACGCCAGAUCCAUUGGACCCCGUGAGAGUGCCAAGGAGUACCGACAGCGAAGCCUUCUGGAGAAAGAGCUGCUCUUCUUCGCUUAUGAUGUUUUUGGAAUCCCCUUUGUGGAUCCGGAUUCAUGGACUCCAGAAGAGGUGAUUCCCAAGAGAUUGCAAGAGAAACAGAAGUCAGAACGGGAAACAGCCGUACGCAUCUCCCAGGAGAUUGGGAACCUUAUGAAGGAAAUCGAGACCCUAGUGGAAGAGAAGACCAAGGAGUCAUUGGAUGUGAGCAGACUGACCCGGGAAGGUGGCCCCCUGCUGUAUGAAGGCAUCAGUCUCACCAUGAACUCCAGACUCCUGAAUGGUUCCCAGCGGGUGGUGAUGGAUGGUGUAAUCUCUGACCAUGAAUGUCAGGAGCUGCAGAGACUGACCAACGUGGCAGCAACCUCAGGAGAUGGCUACCGGGGUCAAACCUCCCCACAUACUCCCAAUGAAAAGUUCUAUGGUGUCACUGUCUUCAAAGCCCUCAAACUGGGGCAAGAAGGCAAAGUUCCCCUGCAGAGUGCCCACCUGUACUACAACGUGACGGAGAAGGUGCGGCGCAUCAUGGAGUCCUACUUCCGCCUGGACACGCCCCUCUACUUCUCCUACUCUCAUCUGGUGUGCCGCACUGCCAUCGACGGUGGGCCUCAUCACCCCCACAGCCCCCCCACACAUGCUGCAUCUCAGCUCUGUGCUGGAUGCUGAGGACACAAGAGAAUAGGAUGCGAUCCUUUUUCUCCAGUUGGGGAACCAAUGUAAACAAAUGGGUGGCAUCUCAGUGUGAUGCAUGCCACAGUAGCAUGGAGGAAGUUAUAGUCAACCUACCUGGUGAUCAAGAAGGCUUCCCAGAGGGAAACGGGGUGCGGCCAGAAAGGUGGCCUCCCCUCACUUGUCAUGCAACGCACGUUCAUGGGGAAGCUGGCGCUAAACCAUUUGCAGAGGACCUGCUUCUGGGUCGGGAUUUCAUACAUAGCUAAGCAGCUCCCUCGCUGCCUCCUGUUGAAAGUCAGCCCUCGACAGAAGGGUUUGUUAAAAGCAAAAAUAAUAACAACAGCAAAAAGAAGGCUUCCCGAGGAAGCAAUGGGAGUUUUGCAGGAUGAAUACGAUUCGGAGUACACCGGGUGGUGGGAUGGUGUUUGCACAGGAUUGGAGGCAUUGUGCAGCCCGGUAGUCAGGGGAACUAAGAAAGGUGCCAAAUCCUGGAGAGCUACCUUCAAGGAUUUUUUAUCCUUUAGCUCAACCAUAGCUAUGUGGCAGGUUCUCUUUUACUAAUUGUUAAAUACCAAAUUAGUGAGAGAGCUGCAUGAUUUACAAGUGAGAGUGGCCUGGAGCUUACUCCUCAUUCCCUCACCCACCCACAUUCCCUUUUGCAUGUCUGAGAAGGCGAGGGGUUCAGCCAGUGCUGCAAGGAUCACAUGUGGCCCAGAGCCGGCUCUGUCAUACUGGAGCCUUCGCAGGCCCCUGGCACUGACGGCCAUUGGUAGGUGGCACAGAUCAGAGGGCUUUCCUCUGCCUCAGGAUGUUUGAAAUUCUGUCAGAAUCUGGGCACACCCAAAGGGACCAGUCAGACACACAACUGGGUGUGUCACAAGCCCCCGGUGGGAGAGCACAGGCGCCAGGAGGCCAGGGAGGCCUCAUCAAGCAGUGAAGGACGUGGUGAGGCCUUGACUUUUAAAAGAUUCAUUUUGCUGCUGUGUGUGCGGAGAGAUUUCAAACCAAAAAGGGAAGCUGGUCGGCAGUGACCUCCGUGGACAAGGAGGUCCAGGCAGAGAGGAAGGAUGAUAGCCAUCCAGUCCACGUAGACAACUGCAUCCUUAAUGCAGAGACCCUCGUGUGCGUCAAAGAGCCCCCAGCCUACACCUUCCGGGACUACAGCGCCAUCCUUUACCUAAAUG